AGCGAAAGUGAUAAGUAUCCCACCUGGGGAGUACGUUCGCAAGAAUGAAACUCAAAGGAAUUGACGGGGGCCCGCACAAGCGGUGGAGCAUGUGGUUUAAUUCGAUGAUACGCGAAGAACCUUACCAGGGCUUAAAUGCAGAAUGACAGGGGCAGAGACGCCUUUUUCUUCGGACAUUUUGCAAGGUGCUGCAUGGUUGUCGUCAGCUCGUGCCGUGAGGUGUCAGGUUAAGUCCUAUAACGAGCGCAACCCUUGCCGUCAGUUGCCAACAGGUAAAGCUGGGGACUCUGGCGGGACUGCCGGUGCAAACCGUGAGGAAGGUGGGGACGACGUCAAAUCAUCACGGCCCUUACGUCCUGGGCUACACACGUGCUACAAUGGCCGGUACAGAGAGCAGCCAUCGGGUAACCGAGAGCGAAUCUACAAAACCGGUCACAGUUCGGAUCGGGGUCUGCAACCCGACCCCGUGAAGCUGGAAUCGCUAGUAAUCGGAUAUCAGCCAUGAUCCGGUGAAUACGUUCCCGGGCCUUGUACACACCGCCCGUCAAGCCAUGGAAGCCGGGGGUACCUGAAGUCCGUCACCGCAAGGAGCGGCCUAGGGUAAGACCGGUAACUAGGGCUAAGUCGUAACAAGGUAGC
rnacentral:rRNA from 1 species